rnacentral:rRNA from 1 species
AAUAGCCUAACGGCUGAACCAGCAACUUGGAGGAAUGAAUAGCAAUAGCUAAUUGUACAUAUAUAUGAUGCAAUAUCGACUCAGUCGAAUAAAAUUCUGGCUAGAAUUAUGAUAAUGACAUUAUCUAGUCACGUGUCUUGACCAAAUUACGUGCCAGCAGUCGCGGUAAUACGUAAAAGACUAGUGUUAUUCAUCUUUAAUUGGUUUAAAGGGUACCCAGACAGUAAAUCAAACCUUUGCUUUGCAAGAUGGAAUUAAUUUACUAGAGUUACUUACGCGGGGGUUAUAAAGUACUAAUGGUGUAGAGAUAAAAUUUUGUAAUACCAUUUUUCGAAAGAAAAGUUACGGCACUGAUAAAGGCGAAAGCAUCCCCUUAUGUGAUAACUGACGUUGAAAGACGAAGGCUUUGGAUCGCAAAUAGGAUUAGAUACCCUAGUAGUCUAAGCAGAGAAUUAUGAGUGUCAUAGAUUAGAAAUUAAUUUUAUUCUAUAAAUGAAAAUGUAAGCACUCCACCUCAAGAGUAAUUUGGCAACAUUGGAACUGAAAUCAUUAGACCGUUUCUGAA